rnacentral:rRNA from 1 species
GUUUGAUCCUGGCUCAGGAUGAACGCUGGCGGCAUGCCUAAUACAUGCAAGUCGAACGAGAGGAAGGAAAGCUUGCUUUUCUAAAUCUAGUGGCGAACGGGUGAGUAACACGUAGGUAACCUGCCCAUGUGCCCGGGAUAACUUCUGGAAACGGAUGCUAAAACCGGAUAGGUAGCAGACAAGCAUUUGACUGCUAUUAAAGUGGCUAAGGCCAUGAACAUGGAUGGACCUGCGGUGCAUUAGCUAGUUGGUGAGGUAACGGCCCACCAAGGCGACGAUGCAUAGCCGGCCUGAGAGGGCGGACGGCCACAUUGGGACUGAGACACGGCCCAAACUCCUACGGGAGGCAGCAGUAGGGAAUUUUCGUCAAUGGGGGGAACCCUGAACGAGCAAUGCCGCGUGAGUGAGGAAGGUCUUCGGAUCGUAAAGCUCUGUUGUAAGAGAAAAACGGCACUCAUAGGGAAUGAUGAGUGAGUGAUGGUAUCUUACCAGAAAGUCACGGCUAACUACGUGCCAGCAGCCGCGGUAAUACGUAGGUGGCGAGCGUUAUCCGGAAUGAUUGGGCGUAAAGGGUGCGUAGGUGGCAGAUCAAGUCUGGAGUAAAAGGUAUGGGCUCAACCCGUACUUGCUCUGGAAACUGAUCAGCUAGAGAACAGAAGAGGACGGCGGAACUCCAUGUGUAGCGGUAAAAUGCGUAGAUAUAUGGAAGAACACCGGUGGCGAAGGCGGCCGUCUGGUCUGGAUUCUGACACUGAAGCACGAAAGCGUGGGGAGCAAAUAGGAUUAGAUACCCUAGUAGUCCACGCCGUAAACGAUGAGAACUAGGUGUUGGGGGAAUAACUCAGUGCCGCAGUUAACGCAAUAAGUUCUCCGCCUGGGGAGUAUGCACGCAAGUGUGAAACUCAAAGGAAUUGACGGGGGCCCGCACAAGCGGUGG